CAAAAGCCUGGUGACAUGCGAUUGGAUGUGUUUAUUCCAGUUGAGCGUAGUCUGAUGCCUUCGAGAUACCAUGCUGGCUGGUGAUUUAUGUAUGGGGUGAUUUGCUUGGGGUUGAGUCCGUGGAGAACAGGGAUCAUGCGAACAAGCCCACCAUUGUUUACUGAUCAGGUGCGGUCCUCCACCUACUUACCAGGCGUUGGCCACGAAACAUGUUCACUUUGGCAGUAGUUUCCACCAAAGGCAUCCUCUUGGUUAUGGAGAUUUGAAAAGCUGAGAUAAAGUCUUCCUUAUUUUCAACCUAAUCUAUUUCAUCUCAGAAAGUAUUAAGGAGAUAAGAACAAGUGGCCAAGUUCUUGGUACAUUCCUGCGGACAGCAUCCAGGGAGAGCCUAAGCUAGACAGCGUGAGCACAUAAACCUUUAGAAUCCUGUGAACCAUGCAGUGUUUCAAUCCACAAACAGUAUUUGUUUAGGGAACAAAGCAGCAAAAACCUGCAACGGAUCCAAAGAGGAAAGUAACUCUCCUUUCUGGGAAUGAAGUUCUAUUUGUGCUUGCCUCUCCUCACGCCUUCAAGAUCGUAAAAGCUUUUAAUUUUUUGGAGGUCAGCUGCAGUUACUGCCUUAAAAGCUGCAUCCUUCUUUCAAGGCUUCUGUCACAGACUCGAAGGAAAGCCUGAAAUCAUCAACUAAGCAGCCUAGGGGCCUUAGAUGAGCCAUUUUCCAACUUGGGAAGAGAAAAGAGAGGAAGGAACAAGAAAAGCAUAGUGGAAUCAGAGUCAAUAUCAAUUAUAUUUGGGUGAGGAUCCAUUUAAUUGAUGACAAUUCAAUUCCUGGACUUCAGGGACCAGCCUGUUAACUUGUCUUCUGUAACGGUAAAACAACUAGACAUGUGUGGAGCAGUUUAUGCAACAAAGACAAAGCAAAACUGGAGGACCUAUGAUCCAAGACAAGGCAAGUGUAGAAAACUGGAUGUAUUUAUGUUCAUCUCUAUAUGUGUUAUUUUUAAGUUUUUC
rnacentral:lncRNA from 1 species